rnacentral:rRNA from 1 species
AGAGUUUGAUCAUGGCUCAGGAUGAACGCUAGCGGGAGGCCUAACACAUGCAAGCCGAGCGGUAGAGAUUCUUCGGAAUCUUGAGAGCGGCGUACGGGUGCGGAACACGUGUGCAACCUACCUUUAUCUGGAGGAUAGCCUUUCGAAAGGAAGAUUAAUACUCCAUAAUAUAUUUGAUGGCAUCAUUAAAUAUUGAAAGCUCCGGCGGAUAGAGAUGGGCACGCGCAAGAUUAGCUAGUUGGUGAGGUAACGGCUCACCAAGGCAAUGAUCUUUAGGGGGCCUGAGAGGGUGAUCCCCCACACUGGUACUGAGACACGGACCAGACUCCUACGGGAGGCAGCAGUGAGGAAUAUUGGUCAAUGGGUGCAAGCCUGAACCAGCCAUCCCGCGUGAAGGACGACUGCCCUAUGGGUUGUAAACUUCUUUUGUAUAGGGAUAAACCUACUCUCGUGAGAGUAGCUGAAGGUACUAUACGAAUAAGCACCGGCUAACUCCGUG